UGCAGUCGAGCGGAACGAUGAUAGCUUGCUAUCAGGCGUCGAGCGGCGGACGGGUGAGUAAUGCUUAGGAAUCUGCCCAGUAGUGGGGGACAACAGUCGGAAACGGCUGCUAAUACCGCAUACGCCCUACGGGGGAAAGCAGGGGAUCUUCGGACCUUGCGCUAUUGGAUGAGCCUAAGUCGGAUUAGCUAGUUGGUGAGGUAAAGGCUCACCAAGGCGACGAUCCGUAGCUGGUUUGAGAGGAUGAUCAGCCACAUCGGGACUGAGACACGGCCCGAACUCCUACGGGAGGCAGCAGUGGGGAAUAUUGGACAAUGGGGGCAACCCUGAUCCAGCCAUGCCGCGUGUGUGAAGAAGGCUUUCGGGUUGUAAAGCACUUUCAGCGAGGAGGAAGGCUCUAAAGUUAAUACCUUUAGGGAUUGACGUUACUCGCAGAAGAAGCACCGGCUAACUCCGUGCCAGCAGCCGCGGUAAUACGGAGGGUGCAAGCGUUAAUCGGAAUUACUGGGCGUAAAGCGCGCGUAGGUGGUUGAGUAAGCGAGAUGUGAAAGCCCCGGGCUUAACCUGGGAACGGCAUUUCGAACUGCUCGGCUAGAGUGUGGUAGAGGGUAGUGGAAUUUCCUGUGUAGCGGUGAAAUGCGUAGAUAUAGGAAGGAACACCAGUGGCG
rnacentral:rRNA from 1 species